UACGUAGGGUGCAAGCGUUAUUCGGAUUUACUGGGCGUAAAGCGUGCGCAGGCGGCCCGUUAAGACAGGUGUGAAAUCCCUGGGCUCAACCGAGGAAUUGCGCUUGAGACUGGCGGGCUAGAGUACGGUAGAGGGGGGUGGAAUUCCUGGUGUAGCAGUGAAAUGCGUAGAGAUCAGGAGGAACACCGAUGGCGAAGGCAGCCCCCUGGGCCUGUACUGACGCUCAUGCACGAAAGCGUGGGGAGCAAACAGG
rnacentral:rRNA from 1 species